GGUCAAAAUAAAGACAAGUGAAUGAAAACGGAAGGAAACUUAACAGGCUGCCCAGAAAAGGACAGAACAUUCACCAAAAUCCACCUAAACUCCACAGCGUUUCACUGCGACGGACUCUGACUCAGUGUCGUCUGGGAAUGACCGUUUUAUUCGCCGGAAAAUAACCGAGUCCAGACAAUAAAGGCUUUGAUGCUACGGUUGGGGCUCACCGCAGACAUCCUGUACAGUAGCACUCAGUGUGCUAUCCUUGAUGUGGUCACAUGCAGGUAAAAGGAUGAACCAUUUUCAGCAUCAGAGAUGGGACUUUCAUUGUAGAGCUGCAGCAAUGAUUUGAGCAGACAUCUAAUUGUUAACUAUUAAAUUACUUGACAAAUAUUUUGAUUCUUGGUUUGAGUUUCUGAAUAUUUUCACCCUUCUUUACAACAGUAACCUGAAUGUCCUACGGUGUUUUAUAGUGAAAGACAUUUGAGGACAUGUAUUUUUAUGACAGUUUGCAGAUCAAAUAAGAAUAUAAACCACAGAUUGGUUAUAAAUGUUUAUAAUCGCUAUUCGCAGCAUUUUAUCAGUUUCAAGAGAGUUGAGAUUAGACCUUGGUAUCGUUUAUACCAAAAGUAAAACUACAGCACAAUUCUUUAGUUUUAUUUUCACCUUUGCAUAUUUAUACUUUAUGCAGCACUAUAAGAUAAACCUAUUCAUCUAAUUGAAGCCGAUUGUCUGUUUACAUUAUAAAAUGAAGAAAAAUAUGUGAAAGCUCUCUGCCUCAGGAACUGAUGCUGAAGAGAUUUAUCCCCUAAAUACUGAAAUUCUGUUGAUCAAUCAUUUCUGGAAUAAUACAUAGUUGUGAUUAGUCUGACUCCAAGACUUUGUGACUGAGUGUGUUUUGUUGUGUGUGUCUGAAUGUGAAUACGGCAAUGUGUAACACCGUUGUCCAAAACAAAUUUCCUGUUUGGGGCAAUAAAGUUGAUCCUGAUCCUGGAUACUUGACAGAGGGAUGACAUAGGCAAAAUAAUGAUCGAUUGAAAAUACCUAUAUAAAUGUUAAAUCAAAAUUAAAGGUGUGCAAGUUUAAUAAACUAUUGUUAGUUUUGCACUACUUUUUAUAGCCAGAGCAUGACUCUCAAAGUGGUGCAAUGUUUCCAAAUGUUGACAUAGAACACUCAAAAUAGUGUUUGUUCAAUGUCCACAUGUGAAUGAAUAAAUAAACCAGAAAAUCGUGUAACCGAUGUUUGCUGUUAAGGCCAAAAAAAAAAAAAAAAGACCAAUUAAACAUUUAUUUUGCUAUUGAUAAUGAUAUAUAUUGACGCGCUGUACCCAGCCCUGGUCAAAGUGUAGAGCCCUGCAGCAGCUCUUCCCAUUUUUACACUAGAUGACAAAGCUAUCAUGUCCUUACUAACCCUAACCCAGUGACUGAAAUGACCAGAGUUCUACAGUAGGCUGUUCGGGGCUGUAAACAUCCCCGACUGGAAGCUGUCUAUCAACAGAGCUUUCAGUCUGAUGUUUGCUGCUGCUGACUGCCUCCAGCCUCCACCGGAAAAAAAUAAAUAAAUAAAAAAUAAAGGACAAAUGUCUGACCUGCUCCUUCACACUUCAAACACUCUGAGAACGCUGCACUGGACUGUUAUUAGUAAAAUCCCAAACUAAUGAGGCCCCGGGGGGGUCAUGAUUGAGCGACUGCUAGUUGUUUUGGUGGCCUAUAUCUUUAAUAACAUUUGUUCAGACUCAGAUCAUGUAAACAUCCUACACUCAGCUGUGAUCAGUUGCAGCAGAGGCUGAGAGAAGGUUGUUUACUUGAACUGGCUGGAAAGAACACAUUAGCAUGAAGUAAGCUGAGCACAGGCGUCUGGAUCAAGGUCAUACACCGCAGGUUUAGCAAACGCACAUCUGGAACAAUCAGACAGCAAAGAGAAGAACAAGCAGCCCCCGAUUUCAACCAGUGAUCUGCGUAGCAUCUUUGAGACAGAUUAUUCCAGUUCGAAGUGCUUCGGAGAUGAUCGACAAGCUGAUAAUAAAACAGAACAAACUAGAAUACAGUGGAAGAGACUGGUUCUUUUUCCACUGUGACAAAAUAUUGAAAAGUCAACAUUUGUGUGGGUUUUGUUGUGGGUGAAUAUGGAGCAAAAAUCUGCCAAAACACACAUGAAAUGCUUUAGGAAUUUGAUAAAGAAGUAAAUGAAUGAAUGAAUGUGAAUUACAUGAAUGUUCUGAUACUGAAAAACAAUCUAGAAACAAGAACAGUUUAACAUCAAAGGGUGAUGUUGAAUAGUGUAGAACUAGAAUAAAACUACACAACAAAAUAAAGAAUGAAAUGUGUGAUUUUGUGUGAAUUGUGUAAUCUGUCAAAUUAAUGUGUACCUGUUUUGUUUUUUUAAAAUAUAUUUUGCUUUUGACAAAAAUAGACAUUUUUUUAAGCUUUCAGGAACAUGUCAUUUAAAUCUAGAUGAUGAUGAUUAAACUGUUAGAUAUCAAUGACAAGUAAAAUUCUGAGUAUUAUUUUGUUUUCCGUGUUAUGCUGAUAUGAUUUGUGAUCUUGAUAUUCUUGUGUGUUUUGUUCUCAAAUAAAGGAAAUGUGACUAAAAUUUUAGCCUAUUGUGUAAUAAUGCAACACAGAUGCUUCAGAUAGGAUUGAGUGCAGUUCACUUUCGCCACAUUUCCUGGUUCUGCUUCCAUGUUGACCUCCUAAAUGGCGUUCUAUAAAUAGUGCACCUAGUAGAGCAGGCUAAUUUCAGGAUUCAUCCAUUAAUCUGUAAAGCAAGGUAGGUUAAUGAGAGGAAAAGUCGUUUUAGAUAGACAGUCUUUAUUCAUCCCCUGCAAACGUCAGGGUUCUGUAGCUCUGAAUACACAUUAGUUACAAUAUCUGUAAUCGACAAAGAAGACUUUUGUUCUUCAGUGUUUUACUUAUGAAGAUAAACUGGUUUAAUGGAGUAAAUUUGAUUUGUUGUAUGAGUUGUUUUUUGUAAAGGCAGAAAUGCACUGACUUGGAAGUUCAGUAUUUUGUAAUUAAUGUGUGGAAUGUUGAAAUUAAUAAAACUUGUCUAACAGA